CCUGGGUAAAUAACCAGGAGGACUCCCGAGAGCUGGCUCCAUCAGGCAUACAAUCAAAGAAAAAAAGGCUUUUGAAAACGGUGUGCCAUCUAAAGAACUCUGCAGAGUCCCUUGAUAACAACACGAAAAAAGCCCCAAGAACACCGAAGAAGAAGCAGAAGAAGCAGCAGCAGAAGAAGCAGAAGAAGAAACAACAGACCACAUCACUGCCUGGAAAAGAGUUCAC